GCCCCUGUAGUUCAACGGAUAGAACUCCGCACUCCUAACGCGGGAAUCCAAGUUCGACUCUUGGUAGGGGCA
rnacentral:tRNA from 1 species